GAGGGUAUAGCUCAGUGGGAGAGCAUGUUUUUAGCAUGCACGAGGCCCUGGGUUCAAUCCCAGCACCCCA
rnacentral:tRNA from 1 species